AUUGAACGCUGGCGGCAUGCCCUACACAUGCAAGUCGAACGGUAACAGGUUAAGCUGACGAGUGGCGAACGGGUGAGUAAUGUAUCGGAACGUGCCCAGUCGUGGGGGAUAACUGCUCGAAAGAGCAGCUAAUACCGCAUACGACCUGAGGGUGAAAGCGGGGGAUCGCAAGACCUCGCGCGAUUGGAGCGGCCGAUAUCAGAUUAGGUAGUUGGUGAGGUAAAGGCUCACCAAGCCGACGAUCUGUAGCUGGUCUGAGAGGACGACCAGCCACACUGGGACUGAGACACGGCCCAGAUCCCUAGGGGAGGCAGCAGUGGGGAAUUUUGGACAAUGGGCGCAAGCCUGAUCCAGCCAGGCCGCGUGCGGGAAGAAGGCCUUCGGGUUGUAAACCGCUUUUGUCAGGGAAGAAAAGGUUCUGGCUAAUACCUGGGACUCAUGACGGUACCUGAAGAAUAAGCACCGGCUAACUACGU
rnacentral:rRNA from 1 species